rnacentral:lncRNA from 1 species
CCCUCUCCCCGCAGCCGCCGCCAUGUUAGACGCUCUCUCCAUGUGCCCCGAGUCCCAGCCAUCCUCUCCAGUCUCCCCAGGACCCAGCCCCCAACGAAUCUAAAUCGUGGCAGUCCCCCGCCCCUUCACAGUCCCCUAGGAACAAAAAGUCGCUGCAGAAAAUCAUCUCGCGAUUGAGCUGAGCCUGAGGCUCGGGGGGACACCUAAACAAUUGAAACAAAGAGGGAAACGCAGGGGAGCCCAUCGCAUGGGCGCGGGGGUAGCAAAUCGAAGACCCAUUCAAAAUGGGCCUGCCGGAAAGGCAGUUCUACCUUAAGAUUCUAAACACACUUCUCUCCUACGGAAGAAGAGGGGACGCUCGACAGGUCUCGAGUGCAUGGUAACCGAGCGGACAGACCCCAAGGCUGCAGGACGCAGGCCGCCCCAACUCCACGAGGCGGUCGGUUGAACCCGGAGCCCCCCGCGCAGGGACCUCUUCAUUUUGGGCCCUCGUCAGAGAAAUCGGGCCUCAGAGACGGAAAGAAGGGCACCAUACAGUGAAGUCCUGACGACAGGCCCCCACCCUCACAUGUCCCACUCCUAAAGGCCAAAAAGCCGGACCCACAGCGGAAGAGUAAUAAAGAGGCCUGGGGUACAGUGCCGCGUCCGAGUCAGGUGACAAGUGCCUCUUCCAAGAGCCCGUUUUCUGGGCACGAAGCUCCCGCUGAACGUGGAGACGGGGCGUGUGGGCCAGGGGGUGGGAGGAGGGGACCUAGUAACGCUCCCGAGACGAAAAGAAGCGAAGGCUCCAGCGACCAGGGUCGGAGGGGCCGCAGAGCCCGGCCGCAGCCACCCCUCCCUUCCCCGCCAACUCCUGGCACCUUUUUCUUCUCCAGGUUCCGAAGUUUCUUGUCGAUCACCCCGAGAAUCUGCUUCAUGGCCUCGGUCUGGACAGCGCCGGUGCCGGUUGCGGGGUGCUGAGAAGCCGGCGCGGCGGCCCCGGCUCCCGCGGCCGCCUCACUCCCGGAGGAACCCGACGGCGGUGGCGGUCCGGACGACUUGCUGCCGCUCCCGCUGUGGCUGGUGGCCGAGGGCAUCUUCAGACCGCAAGGAGAGAGAAGAAAAAGCGGGAGGAAGGACAAGAGCGGCCAGUCAGGAGACGGACGGGGCGAGACGCGGGACAAAACGCGCAGCGAGCGGUAGCCUACGCGAGCGGGUGGGGGAGGGGGCGCGGCGCGCCUCGAGGGCAGGAAGAGUGCGCGGGCGCGCGCGCGACCCGCCAGCGGGGCGCCCGGCUGGGCCUCGCACCGCCCCCCGACCCGCCCCUCCCCCGCGGAGCCGCCGGCUCGGCCUACCAGCCCGGGGGCUCCGAGGCUCGCGCCGGAGGCGGGGCAUCGCCGCGCCGGCCGCCAACGGCCACUGCAACGGUCCCUACCGGGGAGGGCCGGCUUUUGCCGGCUUCCGGAGAAGGGAGGAAAGAGAGAGGUUUACCUAACACUGUAAAGAGAACGUUCAAUGAAAUACAAAGAAAAAGAUGAUUUUUUUGCUCCAAGAGAAUUAUUCCAGCCUUGGGGUGGAGUGGGUGUGGACAGUGAGCAGAAAAACAAGAAACCAAGUUCUGGGAGGAAAUAAAAUGAAUAUAAUCAGUGGAAAAUUCAGCAACGCAAUAUUGUGUGACAACAGUAAAUGACCAAUUUAUAAUUUAAAUUCUAUGAAAAAGAGAUUUAGAAGAGAGUUCUACCAAACCCACUGUUCCCUAGGGAAUAAAAUGAGUAACGCUGACUGGCAACAGUGCAUCCUGAGGGAGCCUGGAGAAACAACAGCAGCCUCCGACCUCAAGAUAUCCUGGUAGUGCUGUGACAGUGUCUUAAGUAGGGCAUGUUGAUAGAUGGAAAAGGACGGCAAACUCGAGGUGCUGAUUCAGGAAGAAGCAGAUUCCAAGAUGGAAGAGAAAAUAUCGAGAGAAAUAUGCCGAGAGAAGAAUCCAGGCAGAAUGGAAUCCAGGCAGAAUGGUGAAUGGAAGGUUCGGGUGACCAAGAGAAAGGAAGGGUGACUCAGCAAGUCUGUAGUUUCAGCUCUUGUAUAGUACGUUAUACUUGAAAAGCUGAAGCCUUUUCUCGGGGAAGAGUCAGAACGGCCUGGAGGGCUUGCUAAAGCGCUGCUGGCUGGGCCCCGCCCGCUGAAUGACUAAUGGAGACUCUGAGGGCCGGCUGGUAAUUUGAGUUUCUAACAAGCCCUGUUUCGAUGCUGGUACAGCCGAUCUAGGGAAAAUAUUGGAACAAGGAAAAAACUAAGAAGAAAUUUUAAAAAGUAAUCAAAGGCGGCCAAGUGAGGUGGCUCACGCCUGUGAUCCUAGCGCUUUGGGAGGCCGAGGCGGGCAGAUAUCUGAGGUCAGGGGUUUGAAGACCAACAUGGAGAAACCACGUCUCUACUAGAAAUACGAAAACUAGCCAGGCGUGGUGGCUAAUGCCUGUAAUCCUAACUAGUCAGGAGGCUGAGGCAGAGGAGUCGCUUGAACCCAGGAGGGGGAGGUUGCAGUGAGCCGAGAUCGCGCCACUGCACUCCAGCCUGGGCAACAAAGACUCCAUCUCAAAAAAAAAAAAAAAAGUAAUAAAAAAUGACAGUAGUGUACUGUAAUAUGUAUGUUUUCUGCUGCUACUUUUUGUUUUGCAUUUUCCUCUUAAAGAGACCAGAAGAUGGCUGGGCUCAGUGGCUCAUGCCUGUAAUCCCAGCACUUUGGGAGGCCGAGGCAGGUGGAUCACCUGAGGUCAGGAGUUUGAGACCAGCCUGGCCAAUAUGAUGAAACCCUGUCUCUACCAAAAAUACAAAAAUUAGCCAGGCGUGGUGGCAGGCGCCUGUAAUCCCAGCUACUCGGGAGGCUGAGGCAGGAGAACGGUUUGAACCCGGGAGGCCAAGGUUGCAGUAAGCCAAGAUCACGCCAUCACACUCCAGCCUGGGGGACAAGAGUGAGACUUCGUCUCCCAAAAAAAAAAAACCAAAAAGAGGGCAGAAGAGAAAAAAUAGAAGGAGAUAUUGGACAUCCUAGUCAUACCCCAUUUAGACUUUGCCUACAGAGGACAAUGAAAGAAGGCAGCAACCUUUUCUCUGGGCCCUCCUUGUCUAAACCAAAUGCAGAUCUGGCAGCCCUAUAGUAUUGCAAGAUCAUAUUCCUUGGCGUUCUUUGGAGCUAGAGCUGGUGGUGUUUCUCCUCGUGAAUGCUGUGCUAACAUCCACCUAAAGCGGAAAGAAGACAGUUCUUUAGGAUAGCUAGGGCUGAUUUGAUGUGAGAA